rnacentral:rRNA from 1 species
AGUCGAACGGAGGACCCCUUGGACUGAGGUUUCGGCCAAAAUGGAUAGGAACUGCUUAGUGGCGGACUGGUGAGUAACGCGUGAGGAAACCCUGCCUUCCAGAGGGGGACAACAGUUGGAAACGACUGCUAAUACCGCAUGAUAUAUUUGAGGGGCAUCCCUUUGGAUAUCAAAGAUUAUAUCGCUGGGAAGAUGGCCUCGCGUCUGAUUAGCUAGUAGGCGGGGUAACGGCCCACCUAGGCGACGAUCAGUAGCCGGACUGAGAGGUUGACCGGCCACAUUGGGACUGAGAUACGGCCCCAGACUCCUACGGGAGGCAGCAGUGGGGAAUAUUGGGCAAAUGGGCGCAAGCCUGACCCCAGCAACGCCGCGUGAAGGAAGAAGGCUUUCGGGUUGUAAACUUCUUUUGUCAGGGAACAGUAGAAGAGGGUACCUGACGAAUAAGCCACGGCUAACUACGUGCCAGCAGCCGCGGUAA